AAAAAAAUGAGGGGAUAAUAAAGUAAAGAGAGAAAAGGAGAGAGAAAGUUUUGACAAUAUUCUUUUUAACCUGUGGUUCUUAAUAAGAUUUUUGCAGGAUUGUUUUAGGUUAGGAAAGAAUCAAAUCUGCGACCAAGGGAGAUGAUGCUGAUUUAUUAGAAGAGUUUUAUAACACAGAAAAAAGACCUAGCUGCAGGUAGAGAGUACAGGAUUUACUACUUCUAGAAGAAAAAUCUCCUGAUUUCCAGAAUAGUGAGGAAAUUUCCAUUACUACCCUUUUCUUCUGUCCAUGGUGACUAGAAAACAAUCCAGUUUUUUUAAAUAACAAAUUAAUUUAGUCAUGGCUGUUGAAUUAGAGAGGUAGACAUUUAAAACAAAGCUGUCAAAGCCAAAACAAGAGUAAUAACAAUUGUUAUAACAAAUUUUGUAGUGCCCUCAUUACUUGCAAGCUUCAUGCUAAGCAAUUUAUAUGUACAUCUUCAUUUAGUCUUUACAGUAUUCCUACGCAUUAGGUACUAUUAUUAUCUUCAUUUUACAGCUAAAGGAAGUGAGAUUCAGAGAAGUUAAAUGCCUUUAACAAGUGGUGGUGCCAAGAUUUGAACCCAGGAAGUCUGACUCCUGAGCAGUUCCUUAACCACUGCAUUCUUGUGAGCAUAACUGAGUUACGAGUAGCUGGUUAAUGUCCAAGCCACAUACAUUGGCUUUGGGUGCUUUCGCCUUCUUGGGCUUCUUCCUCCCUAAGAAACUUUUCAAACAUCUAUUUUCUAAUUGCAUUGGCAGAAAGACAAAUAGAGUAAUAUUAUAUAUUAAUUUUUUUGGACCAAAAAGUUCACCCUUUUAAUGAUUUAAGAGAAAUGAAAACAUGUUCAUAGACCCCCUCAAAAUGUGGGGGGCUGGAGACAUUGGAUCUACUGUGUCUCAUGGUGAAGUCGGCACUGGUUGGCCUGACAAAAAAGCCCAGGCUAGAACAUAAAACGUGAGAUCAACAGAAUCUAGAAAGCUAUGGUGAAAGAACAAAUGGAAAUAACAUGAGAAGAGGAAUGAGAUGGUUUUCAUCACCUUUUUUUUUUUUUGGAGGACACAUGGCUUGGGUCCUUGCCUGCUCUGAGGACUGCAACCCUGGAAGUGAUGGGUCUUCAUGGGCUUUACCUUUAUCAAUAUACUUUGGUUUUGUUAAAGCGAAAGAAAAAAAAAUCUGGACUUUUGACUGGUAAUGCUGCCUACAAAUCAACAGACUAUUAGCAAUGACCAUUGUUGUCAGAGAUAAGAUCAGCUGUUUGAUUAGGAUUCUGACUUGGGCUCCUGUUUGGGAAGUGAUUCCCCAGAAACACAGAGAAAAGCUAGCCCAACUCCUCGGUCAUCACAGCAACCCAUUGUAGUUUUUGUCCCAAACACAAGUGAGAUUCCUCCACUAAUAUUUCCCCACAAACCAAAAUGCUUCACUUGACCCAUUUUCUUUGGAGCUGAUAGACUAGGGGACCUGCCAAGAAGGCCCAAACUUGAAUAUAUUUUGAAUAAAAGUGAUGAGGGCAAAAAGAAAUCUGCUUUUAGUUCCCAAAUUGCCAUUCCACUCCUAGCCUGGAUACAAGGUAAAUUCAAACAGGUAUAACCACAUUAUCAUGUAAAGGUUUAGUAUGUUUUGCUUUAUGAUAAAAGUAAUCUCAGGUUAGCCUGAGUUGAAUUGAAUCUCUUGCAUGAAGGUCUCUCAGUGGUAGAUUUAGUAACCGGAAUGAGAUUUAUGUGUAGACGUUAGGUGAAAUUCCCUUCUUUUAAAGCCAUGGUUUAAAAGGGAGUAUAAACGCAUACUUUCAGUACGUAAGAAAAAUGUACCAAGAAUCCAGCAUAAAAUACCUUCCUUGUAGUUUUUAACAUGUUUAAGUUCAUAUGAUUUUAUUGACUGACUUCUUUAAUUGACAAGGUUCUUUUAAACUAGAGAGCAGAUAACCAAAUUCAUGGCAUUCACAGACUUCAUUUGGAAAAUGGGCCUGAUUUACCUUAAAAAUGAUGGAGAAUGUGAAUCUGGGAUUCUGUUGAGAUCAUAGUUAACAAAAGGCACGAAGUAAAAAGGUAACUGAUAAGCAAAUGAUAGAUGACUGAAUGGAUAGAUACAUGAAUAGAUUAAUGAACAGAUAGAAAAAUAGAUGGAUAAUACAGAUGAAUGAAUUAAUAGAGACACAAAUGGAUAGACAAGUAGAUGACAGAUAAUAGAAAGAUAUUCAUAGAUCAAUACAUGGUUAGAAAAUGGAUAGCUAGAUGCACAUGGAUGAAUAGAUGACUGGGAAGCAGAAUAAAUAGUUGAUAUAUAAAUGAAUAUAGAGAGAUGAAUGGAGAGAUAGACGCUGGAGAUUGAUGAAUGUAAGGGUAAAUUUGGAAUGAAAUUGUAGAUAGAUGCAAAGGUACAACAAUAUCACAAUUGUACCCAACUGGAAUGGAAUACCAAUGAAGAUAAUGUCAUUUCUCUCCAUGGAGCUCUUUUAAAUAGUUUAACUCUUUUGGGGGACGCAUAGGCUGGAGGCAGGAAAUCAGUCAGUCUCUAAGAGCUCUGCUGUUUCAUAACAACUAUGUCAAUGAUAGGAAGAAAAUACAUGGGCGUGCCAUAAUUUAGCCACUUCGGAAUCCUCCACAAGGCUCAAUUCCAGCCACUUUGAUCCGCACUAGAACAAUGUGAGAAGUGCAGAGUGGAGGAUGUACAGGGCAGCUUCCAUGCAUCCUUGGUGAUACACGAAAGUCACGCCUUUGUGUCACUUCCUUAAUUCUGAUAUUCAUAUAUACCUUCACUGGUAGACCUACUCGGGAAAGCUUGGCGCUGUAAUUAAUCCAUGUCACAGGAAGAUGUACUAUCGGCAGAAUUUAAGAGUGGGCUUGAGUCGCUGUGACGAGUAGGGGCACCUCCGCCUGUGUGAUAUAAAUUCCUCUGCUAAUUGGAUUGCAGGAGCUAAUCAGAAACCAGAAAGAGAAGGAAAAAAAAAAAUCCGUGUUCCUCCUGCUGCUGCUGCUGGCUGAUAAAGCAGACAGCUCCUUCCAGGACCAGGGGUGCUGGAAUUGAAUCCUCAUGCGGAGGUCUUACUCCAGAUGGCUAUCUCAAAGGAGACACAUCCCUUCUGUCACCGGGCCAGGAGGAGACAGAUAGAGCAGUGAGAGAAAAAGAGUAGAGGGAUUUUACUACCGAAUCACAGAAACAGAGUGAGAGGGGGAGAGGUGAAAGGACAGGAAAUUAAAGGGAGGAGGGACCAUCCAAUGGCCUGAGAGAGCUAGAAGCUUUGUCUGAAUGAGGUCCUACUUCCCGGCCCAUAAGCAUGCCUGCCAUCCACUUGGGGGGCAUAACUUUAGGAGGCCUCACCUCUGAAGCAGGGACUCUGGGCACGCAGGGGAAAGCCAGCCAAAGCUUGCCAUUUGGCUUAAGAUACUCCUGUACCCACUUUCCUGAAGGUGAAAAGCCAAGGUGUGGGGGGGUGUCAAUUCCAUUCAAUAUGAGGGGAAGCUCGUUCGGAAGCAUGAGCUGCUCAAGCUGUAGGGAAGAAGGGAAAAAAAACGCCCGAGGUCUGAAACGUCUUGCCUGCUGGAAACAUUCCGUCUGCUCCCAUUAUCUCCAGGUUUUGGAUGAGGGUGAAAAACAGAGUUUGUAUUCAAUAUCCUGUGCACCUUUUCCACCAAGGAUCAAUAGUUCAUUCCAGCCCUAGGAGUGCUUAGACCUUGGGGGCCUUUAUCUCUCCUUUGCUUUUCUAAGGCGCUACCACUUCUCCAGAGAGGAAAAUGUGUGCCUAAUAUUUGGUUCCACCAAGCUGAAUCCCUGCAGUUAUCUUUAAAUUCCUCUUUUCCGCCUCUCCUGUAUUCUUUUCUCUCUGUGAUUACCACUUCUUUGCCCGUAUUUCUUCUGGAGCCCUCUACAUACGCUAAAUCCUUAGCCAUGAUGAGUCGGCAGAAAGCCCCUCUUGCAUACAACAAAGACUUCUAUUUUUUUUUUUUCCUUCCUAUCUUUUGGGCGACACGAUAAAAAAUAACCCUGUAUUUAUGCAAAUUGCAAAGUAGCGUGUGAUAAUGAAAACAAAACAGUGCUGGCCCGCAGCCAAGACAUGGCACUGACGGGGGCUUCCGACCAUUCGGCUCUUGAUUCUUCGGGGAAAGCAGCUGUAGAGAAGGGGGAUGCAGAACACGGUCGCCACCCGCGCGCUCCCACGCGCACACCCUCGUUCGCACGCAUUCCGGUACCGUCACCUCGGCGCCAGCCAGCCUUGGGGUCCAUGUGAAGUUCGGCUGCCUCCCGCCACCAGCACUUCAGCGUCGUCCCCCACGAGCCUCCCUGCCCCCGGCUCCUGAUUCCCUUUCAGGAAUUUACAAACAUUUCCCACAGAUCAAUAUCUGUAUUGAUUAUUCAUUGUGAGUGAGUCGUGUGUCUUUGGUGAUCCAGCUCGCAGAGGUAGCAGCCAAAGCCUGCUGCAGGGGAAAAAAAACCACAGAAGGCGAGAGGGACCCAGCUCUUGCUGGGUCUGCGGCUGUCUGUCGGCAACACAGAAAGGAAGAGAGAAAGAGGAAAGCGCUGGGAAACGAAGGAAUGGACGAGGUGGAGGAGAAAGAGGGAGCAAUAGCAAGAAAAACCAAGCGAUGGCUGGACAUCUGGUCCCCGGGCUCCUGGUGGCUUGGAGGAAACCCCCAUCUUGGGUCUGCUGAUCCGGGCGUCAUGCACUGGACUCCCUCUGCUCGGGGAGCCAGAAGUGACUCACAGUUUUGGUAUCUCCUACGUAAGAGCUUUGGGGGGAUUCCUUGGCUGGCUGUCAGGAAAAGAAGAAAGCGGCAGCCGUGAGGUAAAACACGAUUACUUCCAACUGCCUGGCGGAGGACACGCAGUCGCUUGGUUUGCCUGGAACAGCUUGCAGCGCUCUGAUGGCACGCGGAGGGAGAAUAAUUAAAAAGGCCAGCAUCACUUACGAAGGAUUACUGGAAAAGACAGUGAAAUGAUGACAGGAAAACAUCUUGGACCAGAGCCAAAAAAAAAAAAAAAAAUCAAGGCAAAUCAAGUCUGCAGCUGGGAGAAAACACCCAUCGUUCCUGUGCGGUCCUUUCGGAAGCUCACACAGGAAUUGCCCAGUGUUCCUCAGCAGAAUAUGGAAUGUGGUGUGGGCACCAGGGGACAGGACCAGGUUCCACCGGAGUGACCCGAGGAAGGAUCCAUGGCAUGCCAGGAGCUGCUGAUUCUCGGUUUGUCUCCAGGAAGCUGUUGCGAUGUUACAGACAUAUGCUGGCCAAAGGAAGUUGAGGAAAUUCAGUUUUCUGUUGAUGGGGCUUUUUUGCAAAAUGUGCCAGGUGACUGUCUUUGCCAUUUGGGAUUCUUCUCUUGUUGUCACCCAGCUGUGGCUUGGUGAGUCCAAAACCAACCAUGAGCAAGACUCUUUUAAGACAGGGUCCAAACACAUAUGACAAAUUGGGGACCCCCAGGAAUAAACUGAGCUGUCUGGUUCCCCUACACAUGAAUGGAGUUGGGUCUUUAUUUAUUUAGGAUUUCUGGGACUGGAAGGUCAAGUCUUCUCACUGGGAUUUUACUCUUCAUGUGGCUUCCUUAUUUCAGACUCCCCAGUACGUUGCAAUUUCCCCAGCAGGAGGAAUAUAUCCUGUAGAACUGUGCCUUGGACAUUGAAAGGAGGAGGAAUUAAGCCAAUUGUGUAUGACUUGGACACCUUACACUGCAUUUCUUCAGCAUUCAUAGAGACCUGUGUCUGUAGAGCGUGUGUGUGUGUGUGUGUGUAUGUGUGUGUUGUGUGAUGGAAUUAUGUGGAGUAUCUGCAUGUGUGUUGCUCUGUGUCUGUGUGUCUCUCCAAGAGGGAGGAAAAGAGUGAAGUCAGAGCAGAUGGAAUGUUUGGGCAUUUAUAUAAUUCAUGCAGAGAAUGUUCACUGCGGCAAGGCAGACAGCCACCCAUCCCUGGACUCUGCUGCUCUGGAGGGCCUGUACAGACCUGAUCUGAAUGUUUAAUGCAGGAGGCGAAAUUAGCAUACUAACCAAGGAUGUCAACCCCUCCUUGCAAUCAGUAAAUGGCCGUCUCCUCUCUUUAAAGCCGGCACCGCUAUGCGUGCCAGCCACUUAACCAUGUCCUCUGUCAGGUCCUUUUUUGUGUUUGUUUUUUUGUUUUUGUUUUUUGAUGAAAGACUGGAAAUUCAUUAAUGAGGAGGGAAGGAAGGGCUUCAAGGGGCUGUAAUGAAAACAAAUGAUCCUCUUUAAAUCUCAUGUCGGCCCAAGCCGGGGUGGGGGUUGCUUUCUCUUCUGGGGCUGGAGAAUAGGAAAUUCCACAGACAACAGACCACUUGAGGAGAGCCCAAGAAUGCAUUGCCUGCGAAUUUCUUCUCUGUGGCAAAGACCAGUCAUGGCCAGUAUGUCUGUGUUAAUGAAACUUAGAAUAAGCUUUAUCUUAAGAACCGUAAAGUGUGGUCUACCAGAUGUCCUUCCAUUCCAUCACAGGUUAUCAGUGUUUCUUGACCUUGUAAGGCUAGGAAGAGCCUUCUGGAGUCUUUUGGCCAAUUGCCUCUGCUUUUGAAGUAAUACACAUUUUUCUUUGGGGUUAUGCUUUAGGCCUUUCCCAAAGGAAGUAGCUGCUUUUAUUUUAAUCUCUGUCAUACAAAGAAGCAUACAAAGGAGAUGAUUUAACUUCCACUUCUGUAGAGUCCAUACUAAAGCAGACAGAAUGCUAAGAGCAUAGAAUCAGGCACUCCCUGCCAGGUAUUUGGGUUUCCUUUCUCCUUAUUUUAGCUACUCUGUCCUCAGAAUCAAACUUCUCCCCUUCCACUGUAUUGUACUCGUUUGGUGUUAAGCCAGGGCUCACACACUCUGAAAUCUCCAGUGAUCUGUGGGUACCAGCUUGAGGAGGCAAUAGGGAGGAGUGGGGCUUGGGAUAAACUGGGCACAGAACCACUCAUUUUUAUUUAGGGGAAUAAAGGUCCUGCCUUGUGUUGCCUGAUCUUCCAGGGUUCCAAGAGUUAGAAGAAAUGGGUAUGUCUAAAGAGAAAAGGAUAGCAAUUUUGAAAUACUGGCUCAAAGUGUUCUUUUUUUUUUUUUUAAAAAAAUCUGCACAUCAAAUAAAGCAUGUUUGAGGAUAGACAGCUGACAGCACGUCAAUUUGCAAUCUUCAUUUUAGUCUAAAACAACUACUGCUUUUUUUUUGUUAAUUUUGUAAUUUUUUUAAUGCCUAGUCUUUCCGUGAAAUAUUUUGAUAAAAAAUAUAGAUGUUAGCAACUGCAUGACAAGCAUCAUGAGAGUGCGUUUUUUGUUGGACCAAAAGGGAAGUGCUAAUUUAAAACAAUCAAGAGGGGAAGGAAAUGGUUUUCUGUAUGGCCUGCUGGCUUUCUGGUCACUGGCCUCUUAGCAAGCAGGGUCUAUGUCAUCUUUAUCUAAGGUAGUGAUCACCACAUAGAUUUUUAAUUUUUUUAACCAAGGUUAUAACUGUGAAGAGAAAAUAUUUAGAAAUAUGUUUGAAUAUUUUUCAUGUGUAUUUCCAUCAAUUUUUAAGACAGUUAGUGAUGAGUACUAUUUCAACAUUAAAACAAUCUAAAAACAUUUUUCUUCUCACUUAUCCACAGAACUCAUCCCAAGGGGGUAGGAAAAAAAGAAAGAAUUCCCCGGAAAUGAGAGAUCCUACCUAGAGUUUGGAAGAAAGCUUUUCCACGGCCUCUGAAAUAACUUCAACAGGAAAAGGCACCUCAGCAAAUGGUGAAGGGCAGCAAGAGGGCCUGUCUUCUCACACAAUUGCACAGGGCUUUCCAAUUUCCAGGGUGCUCUUCACACAUAUUAUCCUGUUUAAUUCUCACCACAACCAGGCAUGAUAGUAUUUAGCUUAUUUUAUAGAUGAGGAUCCUAGGCUCAGAGAGGUGAUGAAAUUGCCUAACGUUCAACACUAGUAACAGGUAUUCAUGGGUCUUCUGAGUCUUAAUCUGAUGCCGUUUUUAUUCAUCUGAUGAGAUUUUUAUAAAAAAUCUUCAGAACCCCCAACCCAACACUUCCUAUGUUCUUGAUUUUCUAUAACUGCCCACCUUACUCCCUCACUAUGAGGUUUUCAUCUUGUACUUGGUGUAAUUUGUCGUCACGAGCAGUUUAAAAAAUGCUCCCUGUAUCCUGCUAGCAAUUAACAACCUGCCUAAGUUCCAACUGGCAGUGGCAGAAACCUGCCUAAUUUUCUAUUCUUUGCUAUUUACGCCUAUCUCCCUCCUUCCCCUGAAAAUCAAGUUGACCUAAGGGCUAGUCUACACGUGCCCUGUCUUUACUCCUUCACCUGCUUCAGCGUCUCUACGCAGAGUACCCUGUUUGCAUUUCUACUUCCCCACUUAACUGCUCAGGUCCUUGAUGCCCAAUUCAACGGUGCUUUCCUUCCCAGUAGGGUUGAAUUCCUCUUGCCCCUCCCUUUCCCAUGACACCCUCCUCCUCUGUCAUUACUGAGGCUGUUCUGUGCCAAUUUCCCUCCUUCAUUACCUCUGACUUAUCUUCCCUUUUACCCCCUUAAAUAUCAGUGUUCCCAAAGAGGGGUUUUCUGUGGCUCUCUUCUAUUCUCAACUGCACAUAGUUUGCUUUGCACAAAUGUAAACCCCUGGCUUCAGCAGUCAUGUAGAAACUGGUCAUCCAAUACUCACCUCCAGCCCAGACCACUCUCCUGAUCUGAGCCCCAGAUAUCUGGCUGUCUGCUUACCUCUUCUUGGGAAGGUCCCCAGCACUCCCAACUCAAGACACCUUGAACUGAACUCCUCAGCAUCCCCCAAUCUGCUCCUCUUCUGCAUCCCCUUUCCCUCUCCCCUCCCACUGUCAAUUGCUCUUUAGGUUCUUUCAAUUCUACUUUUCCUCAUUGCUUUCUAACCUCUCUCUUCACUGCAUUCCUACUGCUCCUCUCUUGGUUUAUUUCCCCAGUGGCUUUUCUAACACAUGAUGCAUCCUCUGUACCACUUCUAAUUGAUCUAUAGAACAUGCAGAUGUGAUUAUCUUGCUUAUCUCUGUGAAACCCUUCAGUGGGUUGUUCCACUUUCCUAACUUGGCCUUUAAGGUUUCUCAUGAUCUGGGCCUUGCCUCUCCCCAGCUUUCUCCCUUGAGCCUCUUCCACUUUCCGCUCUGUGCUGUAGGUCAUUCAACACCCAUGGCUCUUUCAUGCCUCUGGAGUUUCCUAUGGUGUUCUCGCCACCUGGAAUAUGUUCAAGGCUACUUUUUUUCAUUUGGCCAAUUCCUUCUUUACCUUCAAGACCCUGGUCUGGAAAGAAGCAUUACCCACACUUCCAAGUCUCCCACUUUAGGGCAUGUGCUGCCACAAGCCCCUGGCCCUGCCUCCCUCUCUCAGAACAUUUACUUGGGUUUUACAAUGAUCAUUUUUCUCUAUUUGACCGUGAGACACUUCCAGGCGGAGACUCUGCCUUUUAUCCCUGAGUUCCUAGCAUAGGUCCUGGCAGAUACUGUGUGAUUAAUAAAUUAAUAUUACUAUUUUUAUUCUGAGUAUAAUAAAUAGUAUUUUUUUUUUUUAGCUCUGAGAUUAUAGCCUCCCAAAAUAAUCAAACUGAGGGAAAUAUAGCAACCAUUUCCCUUAGUGAGAAAAGGAUUUCCUAUGGUGCAAUUCUCACUUACAUCAGUUUUUUUGACUUCUGUCAGGUGAGAAAUGAACACUGGGGUGGUCUUUAGGUGUUUGCUGAUGUGGUAGAAACUUUGGAGUUAAUUAGAAGCUCUGGCUAAAGCUGAACUUCCUUUGCGGAGUUCCUGGGAGGAAACACUAAAUUAACAGUUCAAGGUUACUAUUAGAAAAAUAGUCUGUUUCCCUUAGGUUAUACCUCUGAGAGCUUGUUCUUCUCCCUGCCACUUCUAACAUGUUUCCACUUUCCUUCUGACCUGGCUGCAUCCGCCACCUUAUCCCUGGUCUUUCCAACAAGGGUGAAAACCCUUGAGGUCAGAGACUACUAAAUGUGUCUUUUGCAUAUCUUCCAGAUUCUGCAGCACUCAAUUAAUACUGUUUGAAUUGAGCAGUGAGAAAAGCUGCCCACCACAGGAGAAACCAGGAUGGUUUUGUAAGUCCCCAUCUUCCACGAAGCAGAAAAUAGCAUGAAAUUACCAGUACUGUAGCCUGCUGGCCGUCCUGAGAAACAUCUCAAGACAUCAUUAGGAAUUUCUCAAUUUGCAAAGACAGUUUAUCUUAUUAUUCUUGGUGCUUAUGUUCUAUAGUCACCCAAAGGCUCUGAAUUAGCAAAAACUGCACCAUUGCUCCUAGGGGAAAUACCGGGCUAGGGUCCUUCAAGCCUAUGGCACAAUAUUUUUGUCAAAAGAUCAAUUUAACCUUGUUUUAUGUGUGUUAUUAUUUAAAGACACCAUAUUAUAUAUGUGUGUGUAUUAUACAUAUAUGUAUAUAUAUAUAUUUAAAUCAUUAGCAUUGGACUCAGGGCCAAUAGCACUAUAACUCAUGCCUGAUUGAAACAUAUCUGGUACAUACGUCCUCUCUGUAAGGCAUAUCGUAGCCUUUUUGAGCUUAAGCCCACAAGCAUCACUUCAGCACUCUGCUUGGGAGGCAUUUGAAAGAUGAACCAAAAGCAGAAUAAGUGAAAAACAGGACACUAAACAGACAGUGAAAAGAACAUUGUUUACAGUAUGAGAGUGGCAACAAGGAAGACGGUCGCCUAGUUCAGUCUUAGCUGGGAUGUGCAGAUUAGGUGACUCAAAAAUUGUGCCUCCCUGUACAUGUCCACCAGUGGCUAUGAAAGAGCUGCCAGCAGGGAUGUGGGAUUUACAAAUAUAUUUAAAUGAGGAGGUGAAUUUUCAAAUACAGAAUCCGUAAAUAAUGAGGAGUGACUAUACUACUAGGAUAUGUUGAUGAAACAGUAGAGCUUUUGCUUAUUUCCAAAUAGAGUUUAGGAUGACCUUGUUCACUGCAUGAUCCUGAUUUUAGAGUUCAUUCUUUAAUUCGUAUAAAACUUUUCUGGCCAAGGAACACCUUCACAUUCUUGGACCCCUUCACACAAGUAAUUGCCAUUCACUAGAAGUUGUCUGAUGGUUGGGGUUGAGAUGAUACAUUUUUCUCGAAGAAACAAAACUGGCGAUUGUUGUGAUGCGAUGCAAAGGCUGAGAGAUCAUUUAGACUCCAUAACCAGCUAGGAGAAGUCUCCCAUUGCCACUUUCCUAAUGUUUAUCGAUUCAAAGGUGGCCUCAGCAAAACUGACUCACUUUAGGUAUUUUUGCCCCUCUGAGGAGGAUGUUUCAUGGCUGUCUUAUAAAGCCAUUCUUUUCAGCUAAAUUUUGGCCUCUUUGGGUCAUAUCUUCACUUGCAUUUCACAUUGCAAGCAGCUUAGAAAUUCAUUUUUGCUAUGGUCUUACUGAUUCCUGUUUUGGUGCAAAGAAUGGAUGCAGAACUCUAUGCUUACACACAAGCCAAAGACACAGACAUGCAUGCAUUUUAGAACAAGAAAGAGGGUAACUCAGAGUAUAAAGAGAAGCGGGGCAACAUUUCAGGUAAUGGGAGUUGUAAGAGAAGGCUCUGGAAUGUCACAUUGCGUCUUACUCCAAGUGAGUGUGGGGUUGGUUCCAGCAGAAUUGGACUCUCUGCUGUUAUUUAAUCUUAGUAGGAUCCUAACAAAACUGGGUAACCACACUGAGAACUGUUCCCUCUUCUGUGAAAUAGGGAGCAUGAUACUAGCCUUCAGAAAUGACUGUGAGGAUUAAAUGAGGAAAUGUAUGCAAAGUGCUCAGCUCAAAGUCCAGCAGAAAAUACUGCAAAAAUAGAAGUUGGUAAUUGUUGCUUUUGCUACAAUUUUCUAGGUUCCUAACUAGCCAUCUGCUUUGACUUCUGGGCAAUGUUUAUUUGUGGAAACAAAGAAGAUUGGAGUUGAAAGACCUGCUCUAGGUCAGCUUCCUCAUUGUGUAGAGGGGAAAACUGAGUGGAAUUCAGCAUCGCAUAGCUAGUUAGGACAGAAUCAAAAGGAGAGCCCGGCUCUCUGGAGCCUAGUUCACACCUAUGCAGUAAAGUCCUGUGAGCCCAGAUUUCCCUUCUAGAACUUCCUUCCACCACUAACAACUGUCUCCUGCCCUUACCAUUCUCAUCCGAAGAGCCUCGUAACCAUUGCUCUGUGGGUUAUUAUCUUCUCUGGAAGAAAGGCUCAGUGCUUGCUGAGCAUCAGCCUAGCAGAAUAUUUUAGAGCAGGAGGAACUACUGACCAUGAUUCCUUCUUCUUUUUCUUCUUCUUCUUUUUUUUUUUUUUUUGCUACAAAUGUUAAUAGCUACCAAGGAAUAAUAUCCACAACUUUUUGAAGUAAGACAAAGCAAAAAGAAUCACAGAAACUAGAGAAGGAAUGCUCUUUUUAAAAAGGAUCAAUUAUUUCUGCAGUUCUGUGCAGUAAUUUGCAAGAUGCUCCCUUGGAAAAGCCCACAGGAAAAUGCUGCUGGAGAGAGAACCCCCAAAGCUUAUAACUGAUCAUGCAAUGAUGGGACAAGACAACUGUGCUGGAAAAACUGUAUGGGGCUGGCCAAUUUCCGCCCAGCCUGUCUUACUGAGUGGGCGCUCCAAGUGGGCUGUGCCAGGAGCCAGCGAACUGUGCCAGCAGCCAGCGAAAUUUUCAUGGGUGUGGGGGUGGGAGGUGAGACAGGGCAGUCCUGGGGAAGCCCUUGCAGGAAUUGGGUGGUACCAUGGAGUGAUGGAUUAUGUGGCAUUCAAGCAAGAAGUCAUAUCCAGCAGGACACUGGCAACCGCAAGAAAAGGCAUGAUAUGCACAUGGGUUUAAAGGUGAGGCUGAGGUCAGAGUCUGGAGAGUGUGGUCAGGUGAGAGAGGGGUCUACUACUGUCAAGUUCAGCUAAGGGAGCUGGGUGCCCCAGAUGGCCACAGAGGCAACAAGCUGGAGCCAGCAUCGUAGCUUGGGCUGGGCCCACCUCUGCUCAACUGAGUGGGUUACUCAGGCAGGUAGCAAGGUUUGGAAGCGGUGAGGCAAGCCUGGUGGGGUUGGUGGAUCCUCACCUAUUUCAUCACCUAAGAGACAAAUCUUUGUUUCAAAUUACUGAUAUUUAUCCUUGGGCCAAUAAUAAUAUUCCUUAGAGGGUGUAGGGAAGACUGUGGGGCAGAUUCUCCCAUUUCUCCAUGGCCAUGCCUACUCAGUUGUACUUCUCACCCAUUUGUUCUUAUUCUACUCAUAACCGAUUGAACUGAUGAGCCACACAAGCUGAUAUAAGAUGUAACUUCAUCAGAGUCUCCUCCUUGUGGAAGAUCUGGACCUGUAUUUAAUCUGCCAAGGUAAUAGGUUUAAGUGAAACACAGCUGACAUAGCCAGCCCACUAAGCUAUUAUAUUUGCAUUUUAUAUUGAACAUGUCUGUAAUAUUCACUUUGGUAGAUGGAAUUGACAUUUCCAUAGGAUGGUAAAUGCUCAAUUGUGAAGAGCUUUCAUCAGAGUUUUGCUUCAGCAAUCCCAUCAUUCUCUAGGCAUAGAAAAAGAUCACAAAGGAGACAAAGAAGCAUCUAAUACAAUGCGCUUUUUGGGUACAGCCUGUUCAGUGGCUUCAUUCAGAUUUAUGUAAUAUCUUGUUAUCCAGAAUUCAACUAUUUAGCAACUACCUUACUUAUCAGGAACAAGUUAAAAAGAAAAAACUGUCUAAAAGCCAGGAAAGUUGCUGCUAAAGUUACAUGCAUGGAAGGCCAGGGACAAUUCAGACCCUUAGGCACACAGUCUCAGUUGGCUGUGAAACUACCCCCUUUGCCCCCAACACUUCAAGUACCAGGCUUGAAUGCUACGCUGAUGGCCAGGAGCUCCUGGAGGUAACAGUUUCAAGGCUACCCUUCCUUAAAACAAAGGUUGCGGAAAGCGAUAUGGGCUCGUAGACCUUUUUCAGUGUGGGAUACUCAUGAAGGCUACAAUGGGUAUGCUGGUCUCUGUGGGGAAUGGCAAGUGGUAUCAUGGGUCCAGUAAAAGGUGGUGCUUCUGGAUCUGCAAUGCUUCUUGGUUUCUGGGGACUUCCCCUUAUUCAGCUGCCACUUCUUUAGAGGGUACAUGAAAAUAUCUGAAUUGAAAAGAGAAGGAUCAUUUGUGCCAUAUUUUAGAUUCCACAUAUAAGUGAUAUCAUAUGGUAUUUGUCUUGCUCUUUCUUAUUUUACUUGACUUGAGAAUCUCUAGUUGUAUACAUGUUGCUGCAAAUGA